GGAAGUGCAGCGAUUCUACACCAAGAUGUCACAUGACCUUGUGUUAAGAUGUUCAUUUUGAAAUGAUGGGGAAACCGAGGCAGAGAGAAACUAAGUGACUUGUGAAUGGUCACACGGGAAGUCUAUGGGUAAGGAAGAAAUUGAACCAAAGUCUCCCAAAUCCUAGGCUGGCACUCUAACCACUGGAGCAUCCUUCCUCUCCCAAGAAAUGGAUCUCAUUAGCUCUUUUGAUCACAGAGGCACCCUAGGAGUUCACAUUCAGCUGACUAUCCACCUCAACCCCCAAAUCUUUUUCAGAGUCCCUGCUUCCCAGAAUGUAGUCCUCCAUCCGGUCACUGAUUUAAAAAAAAAAGAAAAAACGUUAAAUAACAUUGGACCAAGAACCAAUUCCUGUGGGACCCCACUGGAAACACCAGCUGUUCAAUGAUAAUUCUCCCUUUACAGUUACGCUUUGAGACCCAUCAGUCAGCCAUCUUUUAAUCCAUAUAAUGC